UACAGAGGGUGCGAGCGUUAGUCGGAAUUAUUGGGCGUAAAGGGCGCGUAGGCGGAUAAUUAAGUGGGAUGUGAAAGCCCCGGGCUCAACCUGGGAAUGGCAUUCCAAACUGAUUGUCUAGAGUAUAGUAGAGGUGAGUGGAAUUUCUGGUGUAGCAGUGAAAUGCGUAGAGAUCAGAAGGAACACCAGUGGCGAAGGCGGCUCACUGGACUAAUACUGACGCUGAGGCGCGAAGGCGUGGGGAGCAAAC
rnacentral:rRNA from 1 species